GUCCAUGGCCAUGCCGCCCUGAACGUGCCUGAUCUUGUCUGAUCUCAGAAGCUAAGCAAGGUCGUACCUGGUUAGUACUUGGAUGGGAGACCACCUAGGAAGACCAGGCCCUGUAGGCA
rnacentral:rRNA from 1 species